rnacentral:lncRNA from 1 species
AUUUUAUUUACUUCAGGUUCAAAAAUUUUUCUUUUCCAUCAAUUCCAUAAAGUCAAGUAGAUGCCAUAUAUGAAUUUCCCCCCAAUCACUACAUUACAUUGAUUUACAAUUAUUCAGUUGACCUGGAUAAGAUAUAAUAAGAUGAACCAGAUAAAAUACAGAAAGAGGGGGUAGGGCAGAGUAUAUAGGUAGUCAAGAGAGAGGUAUAAAGUUAGGUAAAGAGCUGAUGGUACCUAUCCACUAGUGGUGAGAGGAAUGUAGGGCAUAAGGAUAUUUGAUCUGUUGAUCGCAUAGGAUGGGCAGCGUCCUCAUUGAAUCCCAGCACUAAAAAAAAGGGAUGGAAAGCCAUUUUAAGGGUGUUUUGAUUCAGAAUCCAGGCAGUUGUGUGUUGAUUGAUUGACAACAGCCCCUGGUUGGCAACAAUGGGCAAUGGGGAUGGUUGCUUCCCAUGCAGUUUCCAAUUUGGUGUUAUCUCCAUAAUUUUCUCAGUCUUAUGAAUGGUAUCUUUGAAGA